rnacentral:rRNA from 1 species
AUACGUAGGGCGCGAGCGUUGUCCGGAAUUAUUGGGCGUAAAGAGCUCGUAGGCGGCUUGUCGCGUCCGUCGUGAAAGCCCACGGCUCAACCGUGGGUUUGCGGUGGAUACGGGCAGGCUAGAGGCAGGUAGGGGAGAACGGAAUUCCCGGUGUAGCGGUGAAAUGCGCAGAUAUCGGGAGGAACACCGGUGGCGAAGGCGGUUCUCUGGGCCUGUUCUGACGCUGAGGAGCGAAAGCGUGGGGAGCGAACAGGAUUAGAUACCCUGGUAGUCCACGCCGUAAACGUUGGGCGCUAGGUGUGGGGUUCUUCCACGGAUUCCGCGCCGUAGCUAACGCAUUAAGCGCCCCGCCUGGGGAGUACGGCCGCAAGGCUAAA